UCCAUGGCCUGGGCCGCCGGC
rnacentral:misc_RNA from 1 species